rnacentral:rRNA from 1 species
CCUACGGGGGGCAGCAGUGAGGAAUAUUGGUCAAUGGGCGCGAGCCUGAACCAGCCAAGUAGCGUGAAGGAUGACUGCCCUACGGGUUGUAAACUUCUUUUAUAAAGGAAUAAAGUGAGGCACGUGUGCCUUUUUGUAUGUACUUUAUGAAUAAGGAUCGGCUAACUCCGUGCCAGCAGCCGCGGUAAUACGGAGGAUCCGAGCGUUAUCCGGAUUUAUUGGGUUUAAAGGGAGCGUAGAUGGGUUGUUAAGUCAGUUGUGAAAGUUUGCGGCUCAACCGGAAAAUUGCAAUUGAUACUGGCAGCCGUGAGGACAGGUGAGGGAGGGGGAAAUCGGGGGGG